CCUCUACCAUUUGGGAAGUAGAUCUGCACCUUCUCAAGUGCUCUUAGAGCUGCCAACCAGAGGAUGGAUCCGUGGAGAGACAGCAAACUACUCGGAUAGA